rnacentral:rRNA from 1 species
AUUGAACGCUGGCGGCAUGCUUUACACAUGCAAGUCGAACGGCAGCGCGGGCUUCGGCCUGGCGGCGAGUGGCGAACGGGUGAGUAAUACAUCGGAACGUGCCCAGUAGUGGGGGAUAGCUCGGCGAAAGCCGGAUUAAUACCGCAUACGACCUGAGGGUGAAAGCGGGGGAUCUUCGGACCUCGCGCUAUUGGAGCGGCCGAUGGCAGAUUAGCUAGUUGGUGGGGUAAAGGCCUACCAAGGCGACGAUCUGUAGCUGGUCUGAGAGGACGACCAGCCACACUGGGACUGAGAUACGGCCCAGACUCCUACGGGAGGCAGCAGUGGGGAAUUUUGGACAAAGGGCGAAAGCCUGAUCCAGCAAUGCCGCGUGUGUGAUGAAGGCCUUCGGGUUGUAAAGCACUUUUGGCGGGAACGAAAAGGACUGUGCCAAUACCACGGUUCGAUGACGGUACCCGCAGAAUAAGCACCGGCUAACUACGUG